UGAUGGGCCCAGUUCUCCAGUCCUCCUUCUACUUAUGUCCUGUGUUGUAUGACUUUGCAGGUGCAUGCCUUUGAGUAUGGACCAGGCCAUGUAACUUCUUUUGGCGAGCAGAAGGAGGUAGAAACACACCAUUUCUGAGGCCUGGCCUCCAGACAUGUUGUGUGCCUCCCUUUGUACCCUGUGCCUCUGCCAUUGCCAUGAUCAAGGCACACCCACAUUGGCCCCGUGGUCUCAGGAGGAAAAGAGAUUCAUGGAGAGCCAAACUACUGCAGCAAAGCCCAGCCAGAACCAGCCAAACCCAGUUGACCCCAGAUGGGACCAGAAUACGGUGUUCUCAUCUAGUCUGGGUCUCGAAAUGAAGCUGGAGUGGAAUAGAGCCAGAGCUAACCCACAGUGGAUAUGGAUGUGAGCCAAAAAUAAGUGUUCAUUUUGAGUCACUGACAUCUUAGGGCUGUUAGCAAAUGCUGACUGAUUCAGGCCCCUUUGACUCCAAGUGGAUUCUGACCUAAAUCUUGGAAAAGGGACACAGCUGCUUCUGCCUGGAUCCCUGCAGUUUCUGGGGUCUGGGCUUUAGUAAUUUUGUCUGUAAAUAAUUGGGUUGUGAGCAAGUGAAAAUCAACAAGGAAGAGGAGAGUGGGGGAGCCAUACAAUCAUGUUAUCCCCAGCCCCAGGACCCUAAAGCACAGUGGCCACAUCCUCUUCUUGCUGUUAGCCACACAGCUGUUCUAUCUUCUUAGGAAUCACAUUGCCAUGAUUGCCAGUUGUCGGGUAUGGUCUCCCCUCCUUCCAUGCUGGGGCCAUAAAAUUCGAAAGAGGCCUCUAUAACUCAUUCCAGGGAUUUGAGCUUAGACCUCCCUGCAUAUGAAAGUGUAAGUUGCUCCUUCCUGCCUAAUUCUGUUGCUUACCAGCAGGAGCCCUGAAACUAAUACCACCUUCCCUCCUGAGAAGGCAGGUUGGC
rnacentral:lncRNA from 1 species